rnacentral:rRNA from 1 species
UACGUAGGCAGCAAGCGUUGUUCGGAGUUACUGGGCGUAAAGGGUGUGUAGGCGGUUGUUUAAGUUUGGUGUGAAAUCUCCCGGCUCAACUGGGAGGGUGCGCCGAAUACUGAAUGACUAGAGUGUGGGAGAGGUGAGUGGAAUUCCUGGUGUAGCGGUGAAAUGCGUAGAUAUCGAGAGGAACACCUGCGGCGAAGGCGGGUUGCUGGGCUGAUACUGACGCUGAGGCGCGAAAGCCAGGGGAGCGAACGGG